UUCGAGCGUCAUUACAACCCUCAAGCUCUGCUUGGUAUUGGACGUCACCAGCUCCGGUGCGCCCCAAAAUCAGUGGCGGCGCCGGUCGGCUCCAAGCGUAGUAAUACUCCUCGCUUCCGGACUCCGAUCGCGUGCCUGCCAGCAACCCCAAACUUAUCAAGGUUGACCUCGGAUCAGGUAGGGAUACCCGCUGAACUUAA
rnacentral:misc_RNA from 1 species